UACUGUACCUUAGUUGCUUCGGCGGGCCCGCCAUUCAUGGCCGCCGGGGGCUCUCAGCCCCGGGCCCGCGCCCGCCGGAGACACCACGAACUCUGUCUGAUCUAGUGAAGUCUGAGUUGAUUGUAUCGCAAUCAGUUAAAACUUUCAACAAUGGAUCUCUUGGUUCCGGCAUCGAUGAAGAACGCAGCGAAAUGCGAUAACUAGUGUGAAUUGCAGAAUUCCGUGAAUCAUCGAGUCUUUGAACGCACAUUGCGCCCCCUGGUAUUCCGGGGGGCAUGCCUGUCCGAGCGUCAUUGCUGCCCAUCAAGCACGGCUUGUGUGUUGGGUCGUCGUCCCCUCUCCGGGGGGGACGGGCCCCAAAGGCAGCGGCGGCACCGCGUCCGAUCCUCGAGCGUAUGGGGCUUUGUCACCCGCUCUGUAGGCCCGGCCGGCGCUUGCCGAACGCAAAUCAAUCUUUUUCCAGGUUGACCUCGGAUCAGGUAGGGAUACCCGCUGAACUUAAGC
rnacentral:rRNA from 1 species